AGUCGUUGACUAUAUUUGUACAAGAUGGCUGCGUCCAUUUUCUAAUGGCAUGAAUUAAUUAAUUAAUCGUCGAUAUAUCAUGACUAUGUUAAUUUUGUUCCACUUUUCUAUGUCCUAACACCAACUGUUUUAUAUUGGAAAAAUUUUUUCCUCAUACUGAUAAAAAUGUAACUUCUGUACUUUCAAUUUCCUAUUUUCUGUUGUUGAUGUUUUAAAUUUUAAGCUUGAAAAUGACUUAGGUCGAAACUAUAGUCGCUAUGUGAUUUUAUUCACAAUUUUUUAAUGAAGAAGUAUGGGGAAGGUUUAGUGUGUUAAAUUCCUAUUCAACUGUCUACUUUCUGACCCCGUUUUGAGCUUUACCACCAUGGAUUCCCACCAAGAA